rnacentral:rRNA from 1 species
UACGUAGGUGGCAAGCGUUGUCCGGAUUUACUGGGCGUAAAGAGCGCGCAGGCGGUCGUUCAAGUCGCGUGUGAAAGCCCCCGGCUCAACUGGGGAGGGUCACGCGAUUCUGAUCGACUCGAAGGCAGGAGAGGGUAGUGGAAUUCCCGGUGUAGUGGUGAAAUGCGUAGAUAUCGGGAGGAACACCAGUGGCGAAGGCGACUACCUGGCCUGUUCUUGACGCUGAGGCGCGAAAGCUAGGGGAGCAAACGGG